rnacentral:rRNA from 1 species
GAUGAACGCUGGCGGCGUGCCUAAUACAUGCAAGUCGAGCGAACAGACGAGGAGCUUGCUCCUCUGACGUUAGCGGCGGACGGGUGAGUAACACGUGGAUAACCUACCUAUAAGACUGGGAUAACUUCGGGAAACCGGAGCUAAUACCGGAUAAUAUAUUGAACCGCAUGGUUCAAUAGUGAAAGACGGUUUUGCUGUCACUUAUAGAUGGAUCCGCGCCGCAUUAGCUAGUUGGUAAGGUAACGGCCUACCAAGGCAACGAUGCGUAGCCGACCUGAGAGGGUGAUCGGCCACACUGGAACUGAGACACGGUCCAGACUCCUACGGGAGGCAGCAGUAGGGAAUCUUCCGCAAUGGGCGAAAGCCUGACGGAACAACGCCGCGUGAGUGAUGAAGGUCUUCGGAUCGUAAAACUCUGUUAUUAGGGAAGAACAAAUGUGUAAGUAACUAUGCACGUCUUGACGGUACCUAAUCAGAAAGCCACGGCUAACUACGUG